UACGUAGGGUCCGAGCGUUUGUCCGGAAUUACUGGGCGUAAAGAGCUCGUAGGUGGUUUGUCGCGUUGUUCGUGAAAACUCACAGCUCAACUGUGGGCGUGCGGGCGAUACGGGCAGACUAGAGUACUGCAGGGGAGACUGGAAUCCUGGUGUAGCGGUGGAAUGCGCAGAUAUCAGGAGGAACACCGGUGGCGAAGGCGGGUCUCUGGGCAGUAACUGACGCUGAGGAGCGAAAGCGUGGGGAGCGAACAGG
rnacentral:rRNA from 1 species